rnacentral:rRNA from 1 species
GACGAACGCUGGCGGCGUGCUCAACACAUGCAAGUCGAACGAUGAGCCCGGAGCUUGCUCCGGUGGAUUAGUGGCGAACGGGUGAGUAACACGUGAGUAACCUGCCCUUGACUCUGGGAUAACUGCGGGAAACUGUAGCUAAUACCGGAUACGACCCUCGGCGGCAUCGCCAGGGGGUGGAAAGAAUUUCGGUCAAGGAUGGACUCGCGGCCUAUCAGCUAGUUGGUGAGGUAACGGCUCACCAAGGCGACGACGGGUAGCCGGCCGGAGAGGGUGACCGGCCACACUGGGACUGAGACACGGCCCAGGCUCCUACGGGAGGCAGCAGUGGGGAAUAUUGCACAAUGGGCGCAAGCCUGAUGCAGCAACGCCGCGUGAGGGAUGACGGCCUUCGGGUUGUAAACCUCUUUUAGUAGGGAAGAAGCGAAAGUGACGGUACCUGCAGAAAAAGCACCGGCUAACUACGUGCCAGCAGCCGCUGUAA